rnacentral:rRNA from 1 species
UACGAAGGGGGCUAGCGUUGCUCGGAAUUACUGGGCGUAAAGCGCACGUAGGCGGCUUUCUAAGUCGGGGGUGAAAUCCUGGAGCUCAACUCCAGAACUGCCUUCGAUACUGGAGAGCUCGAGUCCGGGAGAGGUGAGUGGAACUCCGAGUGUAGAGGUGAAAUUCGUAGAUAUUCGGAAGAACACCAGUGGCGAAGGCGACUUACUGGACACAUAUUGACGCUGAGGUGCGAAAGCGUGGGGAGCAAACAGG